UUUUCACCUGUGGAUUUAAAAGCCCAUCCAACCAUGAAUUUGAGGAGUUACUGAUAAAGUAUGGUGACAGGACAGUAAGUCUUGGGCUUGAGUCCCAGUUACACAAAGCCCUUCAGAUAUUGCGUUUCAUGCUGAUACCCUGUGUUAUUGCAGUGUUGAUGAUUACUAUUUCUGGCAGAAGAGACUCGCAAUUGAGAUGAAUAAGCUCUGACCACUGACCAGCCUGAGUGUUCUUGGGAAAA